GCCACUGAUGCUGUGAUGCAUAAUUGUUGUUCGAGGUCCAAACAGUUUGAGCGAUGCAUUGAUAACGGAACAUCAAAAAUCACCUUUCGGCUGAGCA